UCAGGUUGAGGAUCACCUGCAUUUCUUGGGCUGUCAUCCACAACUCUAAGAUCAUGAAGUUCUUCAUCAUCCUGUUCUUGGUUGGUGUGGUCUGUGCUGUGGGCUCUAGCUUCCCUUCAGAAACAGCAGUGGACAACAUUCCCAGGAAGGAAGAGACUAUAGUCAGAGACAAUGCCAGGACCAGCACCAUUGCCAGGGACAGCAGCAUUGCUCCUGACACCACCCCAGAGUCCUCAGCAUACAAAAUUAUGAAGAUAAUAAGAAAUCGUGUCGAGCAAGUCAUUCGCUAUCUGGAAGAUUUUGUGAACCCUAAUUGGAGGAACACUCAGGAGAGGCAACGGAGACCAUAGACAAGAUGUCUUAUUCUUGUCUUCUUUACCUACCCUCUUUCUACCCCUCCCAUCACUCUCUGACCACCUUUAGAGCUAGGGACAAAAUCUAUGGCAUUUAAUAAAAUUUAUCUGGUGAUGGAAAGAAAAAAAGUUAA